AGUGAACGCUGGCGGUAGGCCUAACACAUGCAAGUCGAACGGCAGCACAGUAAGAGCUUGCUCUUACGGGUGGCGAGUGGCGGACGGGUGAGGAAUACAUCGGAAUCUACUUUUUCGUGGGGGAUAACGUAGGGAAACUUACGCUAAUACCGCAUACGACCUACGGGUGAAAGCAGGGGAUCUUCGGACCUUGCGCGAUUGAAUGAGCCGAUGUCGGAUUAGCUAGUUGGCGGGGUAAAGGCCCACCAAGGCGACGAUCCGUAGCUGGUCUGAGAGGAUGAUCAGCCACACUGGAACUGAGACACGGUCCAGACUCCUACGGGAGGCAGCAGUGGGGAAUAUUGGACAAUGGGCGCAAGCCUGAUCCAGCCAUGCCGCGUGGGUGAAGAAGGCCUUCGGGUUGUAAAGCCCUUUUGUUGGGAAAGAAAAGCAGCAUGUUAAUACCCCGCUGUUCUGACGGUACCCAAAGAAUAAGCACCGGCUAACUUCGUG
rnacentral:rRNA from 1 species